rnacentral:tRNA from 2 species
GCUGCGGUGGUGGAAUUGGUAUACACGAGGGACUUAAAAUCCCUUGCUCCUAGAGCUUGCGGGUUCAAGUCCCGCCCGCAGCACCA